rnacentral:rRNA from 1 species
GUCCGCGGGAAUUCGAUUCAGGCCUAACACAUGCAACUCGAGCGGUAGAGAGAAGCUUGGUUCUCUUGAGAGCGGCGGACGGGUGAGUAAUGCCUAGGAAUCUGCCUGGUAGUGGGGGAUAACGUUCGGAAACGGACGCUAAUACCGCAUCCGUCCUACGGGAGAAAGCAGGGGACCUUCGGGCCUUGCGCUAUCAGAUGAGCAUAGGUCGGAUUAGCUAGUUGGUGAGGUAAUGGCUCACCAAGGCUCCGAUCCGUAACUGGUAUGAGAGGAUGAUCAGUCACACUGGAAUUGAGACACGGUCCAGACUCCUACGGGAGGCAGCAGUGGGGAAUAUUGGACAAUGGGCGAAAGCCUGAUCCACCAAGGGCGUGUGUGUGAAGAAGGUCUUCGGAUG